GCUGGGAUAGCUCUGUUGGAAGAGCAUAAAGCUCUUAAUCUCAGGGCUGUGGGUUUGAGCCCCACGUUGGGCC